rnacentral:lncRNA from 1 species
UCUUGGUAGAUAAAUUCCAUCAGCGGAUGACCACUAUGAAGCAAAAGUUGAAUAUGCUAACACAUAUGCUGAAUGAAAGUUGUGAAGACAUUGCGACGACUCAUUGUUAGAAAUGUUACUGAGGAGAAUCCAAAAAUCAGCAGUUACAUGGGAAUUCGAGUUACGCAUCAAUAUAGCAGAAUUAAAUUAGAUGUUUAUAUCGAUAUGCUGUCACCUUUAACAUUAACAGCGGCGAACGGACAAUCAACGGAAAUAUCACAAAUACAUUAUUGGAUGGAUAGACAACAAUUUUCUCACAAUCCGGCAGUUUUUCAAUUGAAAAAGUUGAAUUUCGAAAGAGACCAAACGGUAAC